GAGAGAGGAGCUCUGUUUGCGAGCUCCUCUCAGUGGAGUUUCUGGGCCCUGAUCGACCUGUGGAUGGUCCGAGUGUCGGACCGUACGGGAGUCGGGGCUUUGGGAGUGGGGUGGGCGGUUGGUGGCGGCAGCCGCAGCAGUAGUGCAGGCCGAUUCAGCCUGUAAUUUGGCUGCAUUGGGCGACAGCGGCAGCCAAUUUUGGCCCUUUGGUGAUCGAGCUUUUGGUUGGGGGUUGGGCUCGGGCAGCUGGGUGGGCGGUCGGCCGCGGCAGCAAUUGGGGCUGAUACGACCCGUUGUCGGGAUGUUUGGGGUGCCCCCGUCCCAUUGGGAGCGGCUCCAGUCAAGUGGGGUGGCUGCAUUGGCGGCGGGCCCGACAGGGGGUGUCUGGGAGGCCUUGAAUCUGGCUCUUGGGGCCUACUGGCCGUUUGGAUUGGCAACGGGGUGAUUGGUUGGCAGCGGUGGGGUGGCUGCUGGGGAUUUGAAUUGGUCUUUUGGGGGUGCUUAGCUGGUUUGUUGGGAGGCUCCGGGCCGGCUGGGUGUGGCUUCCUCUGUAGCAACUUUAGAGUUACGACAGUCAAUGUUUAAAAUUUAUUGAAUAAAUAAUUGAAUGGAUAAAUAUAUAAGUAAAUAAAUAAACCUUAUAUAAAAAACACAAAAAAACCCCACAUCUAAACACAAGCAAAUUCUCUUUAUACCUGGGGUGGAGUGAUUUGUGAUUAUGCCUCCCAAGAAGGCAAAAGGGAAAUCUGGAGGCCAGCCAGUCAAGCCACCUAAGCGACCUGCGCCCCAACCAUCAUCUUCGGAUGAGGAUGAUGAGGAAAUGACACUCAUUAGGGCAAUGAUUCAGCGGAUGGAAGCUUUGGAGCAUGCCAGGGCGCUGCCCCAGGACAAAGGGUCAGGGCCUUCUGGUGGGGGGGGGGCAAGCCCCUUAGGCGGAUGUAGGGAGCUGCGAGGACUCAGUUAAUUCAUUCUUUAUCUGCCAGAUUGAAGGUCCUGGAAGAAGGGGCAGUUCCUACUGAGUCAGUCGGUCUCAGCGUCCUGUGUGAGCAGCCUGUUGUGGUUCCAGACAAUGCAGCAGUCCCGGUGGAGGUGCAGCAGGGAGACUGGCCUUCAGCAGCAGUGGAGGUGCCUUCUGUCAUUCAGCCGGACCACAAAGCAAAAGGGUCAGAGAAAGGACAGUGACAGCAGGAAAUACACAGAACAAAGAGUCUACACAGCAAGAGCCAGGCCAGGCCAGAUCAUAGGAUGCCAACACAGAAGAGGAUGAUGAAUUUGCAUUUAUCAGAGCAAGUACUGGUAUAGUAGAAGCCCUCUACAGGCCUCCAUCAGGUAAGUCAAUAGCUGUCCUGAAUCAGUGCUCGGAUGCAGUAAUGGACAGGAUGAGGAAGAACAAGUUAAGACUCAAUACAGACAAAACAGAAAUACUGUUGUUUGGUGUUUCCUCUGUCCAGCUUCUGAACGGGUCAUCCAACUGUGAAGUUCUGUUGUAUCACCAUCAAACCUAAGAACAAGAACAGCAAAUAUUAGCUCUUAUCUGGCUCAGCUAAUGAUGGAUACUCCUGUGGCUUGAUAGGAUACAACUGCUGCAUGUGAGGAUAUGGUUCUAUACUUGAAUUCCACAGACACCCAUGAUUCUGUGCUUUUAAAGCAAAAAUCAGAUAUUUGCAUUAUAGAUAAGUGUUUCAAACUAGAACCAGGUUUAGGCUAGUUUUCAUGGAUCCAUGGAAAAAGCCAAAAAAGAGUUCUGACAAUGCACACGAUGUUGAGAAAUUAGCUUAAUUCUGAGGAAUCAAAAAUUAUGUUUAAUUACCUGCUCUAUGUUUUUAAAUGGGGGAUGAUUCAAAAUAGCCUGGUCUAUUAUUUUGAACUGGGAAUUGUGGCCAAUAACUCAAUCCACUGCAGUAUUGUUGUACAAUGUUUUUGUGAAAAUGCACUUCCAGAACAUUUUAAAAGCAAAAAUAAAGCUAUUUCAUAUCCUUCCUUACAAAAAAUGGAGAAUGAUG